rnacentral:other from 2 species
GCGUGGCUGCGCUUCCCGUCAGGAAACAUAUCCCCGGGGCCUUACGCAUUUCCUAGGGAGCUGUCCCUGUUUGGACCCGUGGGUCCGAGCACACGGCGCCCACCUACUCUGUAGGUUUCCCGGGAUUGCGAAUUCCAACGGUCGUUGUGGCUACGCA